rnacentral:sRNA from 1 species
CGAUUUGUUAAAAAGUUAGGUUUUUUAAUAGAGAUACAAUUAGGUACCUUUUGUCUAUUUUUAGGGCCCUCCGGUAAUGGUACUACGGACAUUAAACAUAGACUAGGGUCUCUGCCACGAUCUAAGGAAAAUUUAUGCUUAGUUUUAUAAAGAGUGGCCAAACAAUAUUGAUUUCUAAGAGGGACAUACAUACAUACGCCUUAUUUUCUGCUUUAUAGUAUAAGAAGAUAUAUAUAUAUAUAUAUAUAUAUAUAUUUAAAGAAGAUGGAUUUCUGCUUAGAACAUAAAAUACAUAUAGAAUAUACACAUGAUUAAUAAGGGCUUUAAUUUUCUAUACUUUAUUGUCUUUUAUCAUUCACAUGAUUUAAAUUCCAUAAUAAUUAUACUUUUUUUUUUGUCAAAUGGUCACUUAAUUUCUUUUGACACCUAGCAAUCUGUUGGACAGAUGAUGUUAGGCUCACCUGUUUCUGAUGCCAACAGUUUAGGAGACCAGAUAUAGUUUAAAAGCAUAUAAAUUCCUAACUGAGAGAUGAUAGCUAGGGUACCAUAAAGUUUUGUCACACCAUUUAUCAGGUCCUUCUCAAGGGCGAUAACUUAAGGUUGGAUAAGCUUUCACAGUAAAGUUACUACUAACAGCAUUGAACACUGGAAGUUAAUUAUGUACAUGCUUUAAUUAUAUAAUACACAAGCACUUAUACAGCUUCACUGUGCUCAGGGGAGGUUACAGCUGUAUGAGAUAUUUGCACAACAAAUCCUGGUUAGGGAAGCUCACCAUUGAAUUCUAACACAUUUGUGCAGAGAGAAACAUGAAUAACAGUGAUAAAUCUAAAAUAUUAAAUGUACAUCUGAAACCUACAAGCAUUACAUCACAUCUUUUAGAACUAUAAAUAAAGUGUCAUUUUUAUCUUUGAGAAUUACAAUGCAUGGUAAAUUCGCAACAAAGAAUUACAAUACAUGCUAAAAUUGCAAAGAUUAACAAUGCAUGCUAACAUUGCAAAGUUCUGAAUUCGGUAAAAAAGUGUAGCCAAUACAUUGUCAAGCUAAAAUUUACUUUCCUGAACUCCCUUUUAUGCUUCAAAGCUUUAAAUAUCUUUUCAUUUAUAGCUAAAGUAAGCCAUGUUCUUUGAUUAUUUAUUGAUUAUUUGAUUAUUUCCUGGUUCACUAUAAAUUAAUGACUUCUCUACAAGUAACAUAUUUAUUCCAUCGUAAACCACUAUAUUGAAAGGAACAGAAUAAAUCCUAGCUGAAUCUAGUGCCUAAGUCUUCAAUUGUAACAUGGCAGUAUUAAAGAAGAAGUUUGGCUAGCACAUAAUAUCCAAGCCUAUUAUCAUUGUCAUUUAAAGAAACUUAGUUUAUCUCUUGUUUCAAGCAAUCUUUUUUUAUUUUUCAAGUUUAUAUUACAAUGAAAAUUUAGGCAGAAAGAGUACUUUUAGUUUAGGAUAUUAUGAUUAACUUUUCAUUCAUUAAAGGUUAACGUUAAGCAUUAACGUAGGCACAUAUGUAAUGGAAGUGUUUGCUUGUACAAAGGAUUAAAAGUAGUUUGUGGAUAUAAAUUUUUUUUAAACAUGUAUACAAUAUAUAAUAAUGGGUUACAACAGAUUUACAACUCAUUCCCCUUCAAAAGACAGCACCUUUACAACUCAUUCCCCUUCAAUAGACAGCACCUUAAUCUAAUAAACAUGGAAAACCUGUAGCAAAAAAAACUCUUCAGAUGAUGAAAAUGACUGACUUAAAACUGGAUCUAGGUGAAAAACCAUCUGUGUUAUGCGUUUCAUUUAGUAAUAAGUGUAGUAAAGAGUAAGAAUCUAGUCAGAAGAGAAAGGGUGAAAUAGAACAAAAGUUUUAACAACUCAAUUCUAUCUAGUAGAUAGAAAUAUAUCAGCAGUUAUCACAAUUUACAAGACGAACAAAACUUCCAAAAAAUAAGGUAGGCCUACAUUAGAGAUAAAUAUUGAGGGACACUCAAUACUACACCCUAAAUAACUGGCAAUCAAUCUUUUGAAAACUAGUGAUGGUGAACCAAGAAACAUUACAAAUUCCUAGUCAUUGUUGCUUUAAACUUAAGAUACAAAAGUCUCAAUGUUUUUUUCAGACUUUUCAAAAUAAAUUAGAUGGUAUUUUUUUUAUGUGUAAUUAAAUUGCUAAAAAAAAUUUUUUAAUGUACCUAUGAAAUAAGAACUUAAUAAAUUAUUUUCUUCUGAUUUUUCAUAAAUGUACCAACAGUCAUGUACAACUUUCAAACUUUUUCCGAUUGUGAUCCACUGGAAAAUAUGUUGCAACAAAAAAAAAUGAAAGACCAGUACACAAAUAAAAAAAAAAAGGGGGA